rnacentral:tRNA from 1 species
GCGCCCGUAGCUCAACGGCGAAGCGAGGUCGGUCACGUCGGUGGGACGCUCCGGUAAUUGUCGGCAGCGAUCGUGUGCCGACACAGAUCCGGCGGCAACCGUCCCGACCGGCGGGGAAACCUCAAGAGCGUCGGUCUAGGGAACCGAAGGAAGCGGGUUCGACUCCCGCCGGGCGCG